GAUGAACGCUGGCGGCGUGCCUAAUACAUGCAAGUCGAGCGAACAGACGAGGCGCUUGCUCCUCUGACGUUAGCCGCGCACGGGUGAGUAACACGUGGAUACCCUCCUUAUAAUACUGGGAUAACCUCGGGAAACGGGCGAUAAUCCCGGAUAAUCUCUUGAAGCGCAUUGGUUUAUAGUGAAAGACGGUUUUGCUGUCACUUAUAGAUGGUUCUGCGCUGCAUUAGGUUGUUGGGACGGUCACGGCUUACCAAGGGACCUAUUGGUAGACGACGGGAGAGGGGGAUCGGCCGCAUGAGAAGGGAGACGCGCUCCAGACUCCUACGGUAGGGAGCAGUAGGGAAUCGUCCGCAAUCGGCGAAAGCCUGACGGAGCGACGCCGCGUGAGUGAUGAACGUCUUCGGAUCGUAAAACUCUGUUAUGAGGGGAGAACAGAUGUGUAAGUUACUAGGCACGUCUUGACGGUACCUAGUCAGAAAGCCACGGCUAACUACGUG
rnacentral:rRNA from 1 species